CCAGUAUGUAAGAAUAUGACUAUAUGAAGAUAGUGCCUUUAAAAAGGUGACUUCAUGAAAAUGAGACAGUUAAGGUGAGCCCUAAUUCAAUCUAACAGUUGUCUUUAUAAGAAGAAGAAAUUUGAACACAAAAUGAGAAACCAGAGAAAGACCAUGGGAGGACACAGCAAGAAGGUGGCCAUCCCCAAGCAAAGGAGAGAAACCUCCAAAGCAACCAAACCUGCUGACACUUUGAUCUUGAACUUCUAGCCUCUAGAACUUGUGAAGAGUUUUGCCUGCAAACAGGCUGGAUCAGAUUAUGAGAAAUGGGUAAGCUGCUAAGAAAAGGAAGUCAACUGCCUUUCCAAGUCCUACUCACAAUUCCAGAUUCAGUUCUACUUCCAUUCAGAAAAAUUCACUGACUCUAACAGGGAUACUCCACCUAAGAUUUCCUAUGGAGUCCUGUGUUUCUUCCUAUGGUGAUUCUUAUUGAAUUUUUUAAUUGCUUAUACCUGUUUCCAUACUGGACACUAAUUUUUUAGGUAUCAAAAACUGUGUUUUCACUUCUUCAUUCUCACCACCUUGCAGAGUACCUGGUACUUUAUAAGCAUUAAAUAUUUUUUGUUGUUGUUCUUGAAUUGCUGCAUUGUAGCUCUUUGUUACCAUUUGUUACUAAAGAAA
rnacentral:lncRNA from 1 species